rnacentral:rRNA from 1 species
UACGUAGGGGGCAAGCGUUGUCCGGAAUUAUUGGGCGUAAAGAGCGUGUAGGCGGCCAGGUAGGUCUGGUGUGAAAACUCGAGGCUUAACCUCGAGAUGUCAUCGGAAACCAUCUGGCUAGAGUCCGGAAGAGGAGAGUGGAAUUCCUGGUGUAGCGGUGAAAUGCGCAGAUAUCAGGAAGAACACCCGUGGCGAAGGCGGCUCUCUGGGACGGUACUGACGCUGAGACGCGAAAGCGUGGGGAGCGAACAGG